UUUAGUAAAUUAUUUCUCUCUUUCUCUAAGUAUCAGUACAGCUCUUGAAACAUUUGGAACUUUUAAAGAGAGAGCUGGGGAAAUACCUAUCUGAAUUUUGUCUGAAAAUAGACUCUGAGGUAUGUGCUGUCUUCCAUCAAGUCAAUAAUUGACAUAUUUCUGUGCCAGAGUAGCAGACUGCUGGUGAAAAUGUAGCACUUUUUUCCAAUUUAGCAACUAGACUCUCUUUGAAGUUUUGUGUUGGAAACUGGGAAGCAACACAGGGGACCCCAAAACAUAGAAGGUCAAAGAAAGGCAUCCAGCAGAAAUAAGAUGUGGGGUUUUUAAAAUUUUUUUUUUUCCCUGGGUAGAUAGUUACAUGUGGCAGAUGACAAUAAGGGCUGUAACCGAAUUGGCUGGUCCAGAUGUUUAUCACAGAGAAGGACUUGGAUAAAGUUUAUGAAUUUUAAUUUUCACUACUCAAGUGAUUAUCUGAAGGUGUCAAAGGUUGGGGCUUCAAAGGUUGUGUCUUAAAAGCAGCGAGGGAGAUAAACAAGAACAAAGUCCAGAAACAGCAACAUCUCUGCGCUUGUGAGCAAGAACAGCAAAACUGUCAAGCCUUGCCCUUUCUUCUUAUGGGUCAGUUCAAAAUCCAUCUUCCUGCACAGCAUCUUGGCAUCUGGCCUCCAGUGUUGUUGCCAAAUGCUUAAUGAAAAUGGAAGUACCCUGGACCUCUAGGUCCAGCGCAGGAACCGAACAGACAUCUCCAAGAGAAUCCUACAUAGCCAGCAGUGACUGCAUUAGAUGUGCCAGAAAAGAAUGGAUCAGUACAGUCCUAUAAAUCCUGAACACAUGAGGAUUCAAAACAGGGCAGGAGAAGCAGAAAGAUGUGAUUGCCUGACCUGUCUUGAUUCAGACUGCAUGGAUGCUUUGCUCCUGCCUCUGCUGCUCCGGCAGUUCAAGAAUUUGAAGCCAAGACUUGAUGCUGCAAAUUUUCAGAUAAAAGCUGUGAGAAAGGCAAUAAGCUGAAGAAUUCAUGUAUCUGGAGAAGCACGGAAGACAGUUUCAUCUGCCAGUGAAAGUAAUCACUGAGGUGUAAAGGAUUGGUUGACUUCUGGAUGUUGUUGUGGUUCAGCCCCAGUCAGCCAACUAAACACCACGCAGCCGCUCGCUCACUUCCCCCAUCCCUCUGGGAUGGGGGAGAGAAUCGGAAGAACAAAAGCAAAAAAAAACCUUGUGGCUUGAGGUAAGAACAGUUUACUAAUUAGAAUAAAAUAAUAAUUGUAAUAUUGAUUGUGAUAAUAAUAACAAUAAUAAAAAGGAAAAGGGAAAAAGGAAAAAAAAACAGAACCACAAACGAUACAGCCGCUCACCACCCGCCGACUGAUGCUGCCGGUCCCUGAGCCGUGAUUGCUGCCUCCCUCCCCCGGCCAGCCCCUCCCAGGUAACACACUGGGCAUGACGUUACGUGGUAUGGAAUAUCCCUUUGGCCAGUUUGAAUCCGCUGUCGUCGCUGUGCCCCCU